UGCACUGUCAGCUUGUCCACUUUUGAGGUGUUGGCACUUGGACUGAUCCACCACUGGCUUCCUCGCUCCCCAGCUUGCAGACGGCCUAUUGUGGGACUUCACCUUGUGAUCAGAGGCCAGUUUGCUAUUCUUAGUUCCAGCGGAAGUGGAUCUGACGUGGGCGAUCAGCACCUUCCUUUACCAAUGGCUUAUGGAACUCACGUCCAGCACGAGAGUGGAUAUUUGCCCAACAAAACUCACAGUAAUACUGCAGAAUAUGUACAGACAAAAACAAGUAUGCUAAUGAAAUUUCUUCAAAUACUACAAACAAUUAGUGAAGACUGCUACUAUAGGCUGCUGCUGUAUUUUUAAGAGGCUCAACUUCAAAUACUUCAACCUUUUAUGGAAAGAUGGAAACACACAACAAACUAUGUAGAUCUUGAUACAAGUCUCCAUCAAGUUGAUUCAUUUUCAAAAGUAAAUUACAUCCUAAUCUCAAACCUGUGGCAAGACAAGUCAAAUCAUCAAAGAAUGUCCUGUGACAGCCAAGGAGGCGGCCCCGCGGGAACCAGGUCCUGCGAGGAGGGCGGUCGGCCGCUCCCUCCCGACUCCCUCCUGGGCCGGCGGCCCAGGGUGCGGCGCUGCCAGCAGGUUGAUCGGGCGGAGCUUUGGGAGCGGCUCGACUGACCGCCCGAGGGGCUGAGGCUUCAAGGCGAGAUCACCGCCGGCCAAAUAAGAAUAAACAAACUC
rnacentral:lncRNA from 1 species